GCUCCCGGAAGCGGCACGGGAGGCGACCGUGCUCGCCGUUGGCAGGCUAGGGUUGGCGGCGGCGUAUUCUGUUUGUUUUAAACGAAGGAGCGGAGGGAGGGGCCGCGCCGCGGAGCGUGCCUAAGGUGAAAGGGCUGCCGUGCAGCCAGGCAGAGGCGAGGAAGGCUUCUCCAUCGUCGCCACCGCCCGCCUGUUUCGCCGGCAACAGGUUCCCCCGGGACGGGAGGGGCCGCAGCGCCGCGCAGCUCGCAGCGCUGAACGUCGCGGAAAUCCCUUGGCCGGCCGAGCCUCCGCAGCCGCGACCCGGCUUCUCUCCGUCCGAGUCCCCCGAGCCUCUCCGAACCCCCGCCAGCCCUUGCCGAAAUCACCCUAAACCCGUUGAAAUUAAUUCCCAGCUGUCCGAAUUUUCCUUCCAACAUUAACUGACUACCUGUCUCCGCCAAGCUGACUGAACUCUACCGAACUCUUACCCUGAAAGCCCCUGAGAGUCCAAAAUAUAUUUUUCCAGCCCGAAAUCUAAAUCCCAGUUCUCUGUAUGAAAACCUCCAGAAACCCAGACUCUUACUUCCUUCGGCCACGGACUCGUUCGAACAUCGUGGACAUCACCUUCCCACAUUUUUACCGCAGUCUUUGGCUCCGAUUCUUUGUCCCUGCCUCUUGGGCAGCAUCCUAUCCCUGUUUCUUUCCACCUUUGAGGAUUCCUCUACCUCUUUAAAGGCCUGCUUUCUUUGCUUUCUCUUCUCACCUUUGGCAUUGGCACACUGGGGUCAUAUCUUUAGUUCCCUUGACUCCACCAUCUAAGCCAAGGGUGUCCAAUCUUUUGGCUUCCCUGGGCUACAUUGGAAGGAGAAAAAUUGUCUUGGACCACAUAUAAAAUAUUCUAACGCUAAUGGUAGCUGAUGAAACUUUUAAAAAAUCUCAUCAUGUUUUAAGAAGUUUACGAAUUUGUGCUGAGCCGCAUUCAAAGCCGUCCUGGGCCUAAGUCCUUGCUAUUUUUCCUCUUCAAUUUCCUUCAAUCCAUAGUUCUCUAGGUUAUUUUCCCACCCUUUCCCAAGAUUCGGAUAUCCCUUCAUUCUUGCUGAGUUCAUCUCCUAUGCCUAUUCCUACAUACUUGCUGAGUUCAUCUUCUAAUGUCCUCAUCCUGGUUUCUUCCUGAACCUGAAAUCCAGCUAACCUUACUUUUUCAUCCCAUCAAACCCCUGCUGUUGCCAGCCCAGCACUCACGAAGAUCUUUACAUACACCAAAUAUUAAAUUAGGGCCGGUACCUAGACAUUGUCUCUGCACUCUGCUGGCAUAUUUUCCCCUGGACCACGAACCCUUCGUACCUAGUAACUUGCCACCUGUGUUUAUAAAUACCAGCAAUUUGAUUUACAGGGUGAAUUUGUCACUAUUGUUUACUUUUAAAUGAAGUUACUGUAUUUGUUGUUUCCAUUAAAGGCGACAUUAUAAAGCCUAGGCCUCAUAUCCAAAGCAAAUAAAGUCUCAAUUUUUUAAUUAAAAGUAACAAAAGGAAACCUCACACUUCUGAACAACAAUGACAAGAAGGAAUGCCUAUAAUUGGUUUGGGUCACAAUGUACAUAUUGAAAUAAAAUUUUUAUUAAGUAUCAACUUCCAGGUACACAAUGAAGUUUUAAAUGUUUAUCUGUGACAUAUGAAGAACAAAGCAAUCUAAACUGAUGUAAGCAGGCUGUCAUAAGGUACAUGCUGAGGAAUUUAUUCAACAAAUUGAAUAAAUUUAUUCAAUAAAUAAAUAAUUAUUCAAUAAAUAAUAUAUUUAAUAAAUUUAAUAAAUAGAAUAAAAA
rnacentral:lncRNA from 1 species